rnacentral:rRNA from 1 species
GCAAGUCGAACGGUAACAGAACUAGCUUGCUAGUUGCUGACGAGUGGCGCACGGGUGAGUAAUAUAUAGAUAACGUGCCUCUUAGUCUGGGAUAGCCAUUGGAAACGAUGAUUAAUACUAGAUACUCCUUCUCAUUAUAAUUUGAGUCGGGAAAGUUUUUCGCUAAGAGAUCGGUCUAUAUCCCAUCAGUUAGUUGGUAAGGUAACGGCUUACCAAGGCAAUGACGGGUAGCGGGUUUGAGAGGAUGAUC